CCUACGGGAGACAGCAGUGGGGAAUAUUGCACAAUGGGGGAAACCCUGAUGCAGCGACGCCGCGUGAGUGAAGAAGUAUUUCGGUAUGUAAAGCUCCAUCAGCAGGGAAGAAAAUGACGGUACCUGUUUAAGAAGCCCCGGCUCACUACGUGCCAGCUGCCGUGGGUCUAUGUCGGGGGCAAGCGUUAUCCGGAUUUACUGGGUGUAAAGGGAGCGUAGACGGGUACACAAGUCUGGAGUGAAAUUCCGGGGCUUAACCCCGGAUCUGCUUGUGAAACUGUGCAGCGAGAGUGCAGGAGAGGUAAGUGGAAAUCCUAGUGUAGCGGUGAAAUGCGUAGAUAUUAAGAGGAACACCAGUGGCGAAGGCGGCUUACUGGACUGUAACUGACGUUGGAGGUCGAAAGCGUGGGGAGCAAACAGGAAUAGAUACCCUUGUAGUC
rnacentral:rRNA from 1 species